rnacentral:rRNA from 1 species
UACGAAGGGGGCUAGCGUUGUUCGGAAUUACUGGGCGUAAAGCGUAUGCAGGCGGAUCGUUAAGUCGGGGGUGAAAUCCCGAGGCUCAACCUCGGAACUGCCUUCGAUACUGGCGAUCUUGAGUCCGGGAGAGGUGAGUGGAAUUCCUAGUGUAGAGGUGAAAUUCGUAGAUAUUAGGAAGAACACCAGUGGCGAAGGCGGCUCACUGGCCCGGUACUGACGCUGAGGCGCGAAAGCGUGGGGAGCAAACAGG